rnacentral:rRNA from 2 species
GAGUUUGAUCAUGGCUCAGGACGAACGCUGGCGGCGUGCCUAAUACAUGCAAGUCGAACGAACUCUGGUAUUGAUUGGUGCUUGCAUCAUGAUUUACAUUUGAGUGAGUGGCGAACUGGUGAGUAACACGUGGGAAACCUGCCCAGAAGCGGGGGAUAACACCUGGAAACAGAUGCUAAUACCGCAUAACAACUUGGACCGCAUGGUCCGAGUUUGAAAGAUGGCUUCGGCUAUCACUUUUGGAUGGUCCCGCGGCGUAUUAGCUAGAUGGUGGGGUAACGGCUCACCAUGGCAAUGAUACGUAGCCGACCUGAGAGGGUAAUCGGCCACAUUGGGACUGAGACACGGCCCAAACUCCUACGGGAGGCAGCAGUAGGGAAUCUUCCACAAUGGACGAAAGUCUGAUGGAGCAACGCCGCGUGAGUGAAGAAGGGUUUCGGCUCGUAAAACUCUGUUGUUAAAGAAGAACAUAUCUGAGAGUAACUGUUCAGGUAUUGACGGUAUUUAACCAGAAAGCCACGGCUAACUACGUGCCAGCAGCCGCGGUAAUACGUAGGUGGCAAGCGUUGUCCGGAUUUAUUGGGCGUAAAGCGAGCGCAGGCGGUUUUUUAAGUCUGAUGUGAAAGCCUUCGGCUCAACCGAAGAAGUGCAUCGGAAACUGGGAAACUUGAGUGCAGAAGAGGACAGUGGAACUCCAUGUGUAGCGGUGAAAUGCGUAGAUAUAUGGAAGAACACCAGUGGCGAAGGCGGCUGUCUGGUCUGUAACUGACGCUGAGGCUCGAAAGUAUGGGUAGCAAACAGGAUUAGAUACCCUGGUAGUCCAUACCGUAAACGAUGAAUGCUAAGUGUUGGAGGGUUUCCGCCCUUCAGUGCUGCAGCUAACGCAUUAAGCAUUCCGCCUGGGGAGUACGGCCGCAAGGCUGAAACUCAAAGGAAUUGACGGGGGCCCGCACAAGCGGUGGAGCAUGUGGUUUAAUUCGAAGCUACGCGAAGAACCUUACCAGGUCUUGACAUACUAUGCAAAUCUAAGAGAUUAGACGUUCCCUUCGGGGACAUGGAUACAGGUGGUGCAUGGUUGUCGUCAGCUCGUGUCGUGAGAUGUUGGGUUAAGUCCCGCAACGAGCGCAACCCUUAUUAUCAGUUGCCAGCAUUAAGUUGGGCACUCUGGUGAGACUGCCGGUGACAAACCGGAGGAAGGUGGGGAUGACGUCAAAUCAUCAUGCCCCUUAUGACCUGGGCUACACACGUGCUACAAUGGAUGGUACAACGAGUUGCGAACUCGCGAGAGUAAGCUAAUCUCUUAAAGCCAUUCUCAGUUCGGAUUGUAGGCUGCAACUCGCCUACAUGAAGUCGGAAUCGCUAGUAAUCGCGGAUCAGCAUGCCGCGGUGAAUACGUUCCCGGGCCUUGUACACACCGCCCGUCACACCAUGAGAGUUUGUAACACCCAAAGUCGGUGGGGUAACCUUUUAGGAACCAGCCGCCUAAGGUGGGACAGAUGAUUAGGGUGAAGUCGUAACAAGGUAACC